rnacentral:rRNA from 1 species
AGAGUUUGAUCCUGGCUCAGAACGAACGCUGGCGGCAGGCCUAACACAUGCAAGUCGAGCGAGGUAGCAAUACCUAGCGGCGGACGGGUGAGUAACGCGUGGGAACGUGCCCCUUGGUACGGAAUAGCCCCGGGAAACUGGGAGUAAUACCGUAUAAGCUCUACGGAGGAAAGAUUUAUCGCCAAGGGAUCGGCCCGCGUUGGAUUAGGUAGUUGGUGGGGUAAUGGCCUACCAAGCCGACGAUCCAUAGCUGGUUUGAGAGGAUGAUCAGCCACACUGGGACUGAGACACGGCCCAGACUCCUACGGGAGGCAGCAGUGGGGAAUCUUAGACAAUGGGGGAAACCCUGAUCUAGCCAUGCCGCGUGAUCGAUGAAGGCCUUAGGGUUGUAAAGAUCUUUCAGUGGGGAAGAUAAUGACUGUACCCACAGAAGAAGCCCCGGCUAACUCCGUGCCAGCAGCCGCGGUAAUACGGAGGGGGCUAGCGUUGUUCGGAAUUACUGGGCGUAAAGCGCACGUAGGCGGAUCAGAAAGUCAGAGGUGAAAUCCCAGGG